UCCUUACGGGGGGGGGAGCAGUAGGGAAUCUUCCACAAUGGGCGCAAGCCUGAUGGAGCAACACCGCGUGAGUGAAGAAGGGUUUCGGCUCGUAAAGCUCUGUUGUUGGAGAAGAACGUGCGUGAGAGUAACUGUUCACGCAGUGACGGUAUCCAACCAGAAAGUCACGGCUAACUACGUGCCAGCAGCCGCGGUAAUACGUAGGUGGCAAGCGUUAUCCGGAUUUAUUGGGCGUAAAGCGAGCGCAGGCGGUUGCUUAGGUCUGAUGUGAAAGCCUUCGGCUUAACCGAAGAAGUGCAUCGGAAACCGGGCGACUUGAGUGCAGAAGAGGACAGUGGAACUCCAUGUGUAGCGGUGGAAUGCGUAGAUAUAUGGAAGAACACCAGUGGCGAAGGCGGCUGUCUGGUCUGCAACUGACGCUGAGGCUCGAAAGCAUGGGUAGCGAACAGGAUUAGAUACCCUGGUAGUCCAUGCCGUAAACGAUGAGUGCUAGGUGUUGGAGGGUUUCCGCCCUUCAGUGCCGGAGCUAACGCAUUAAGCACUCCGCCUUGGAGUCAAACCA
rnacentral:rRNA from 1 species